GAUGAACGCUGGCGGCGUGCUUAACACAUGCAAGUCGAACGGAAAGGCCCAAGCUUGCUUGGGUACUCGAGUGGCGAACGGGUGAGUAACACGUGUGGGAUCUGCCCUUCACUUCGUGAUAAACCUUGGAAACUGGGGCGCAUACCGGAGAUGACCACUUCUUGCGUGUUGUUGUGGAAAGUUUUUUCGUUGUGGUAUGAGCUCGGGGCCGAUCAGCUUGUUGUUGGGGUAAUGGCCUACCAACGCGUCGACGGGUAUCCGGCCCGCGGGAGUGGACAGACGCACUAGGAUUGAGCGACAGGCCACAGUCGUGCGGGAGGCAGAAGUGGCGAAUGUUGGACAAUGGGAGGACGCCUGAUGCAGGGACGCCGUGUGGGGGAUGACCGCCGUUGGGUUGUAAAAUCAUAUCGCUAGGGACGAAGCACUUUGUGACGGUACCUGGUGAAGAAGCAACGGCUAACUACGUG
rnacentral:rRNA from 1 species